rnacentral:tRNA from 2 species
GCGGCGGAAUUGGCAGACACGCUAGAUUCAGGUUCUAGUGCCCGCAAGGGCGUGGAGGUUCAAGUCCUCUCGUCCGCA